UACAGAGGGUGCAAGCGUUAAUCGGAAUUACUGGGCGUAAAGCGUGCGUAGUCGGUUAUCUAAGUCGAACGUGAAAUCCCCGGGCUCAACCCGGGAACUGCGUCCGAUACUGGAAGGCUUGAAUCCGGGAGAGGGAUGUGGAAUUCCAGGUGUAGCGGUGAAAUGCGUAGAUAUCUGGAGGAACACCGGUGGCGAAGGCGACAUCCUGGACCGGUAUUGACGCUGAGGCGCGAAAGCCAGGGGAGCAAACGGG
rnacentral:rRNA from 1 species